rnacentral:rRNA from 1 species
UGGUGGGUAGUUUGACUGGGGCGGUCUCCUCCUAAAGAGUAACGGAGGAGCACGAAGGUUGGCUAAUCCUGGUCGGACAUCAGGAGGUUAGUGCAAUGGCAUAAGCCAGCUUGACUGCGAGCGUGACGGCGCGAGCAGGUGCGAAAGCAGGUCAUAGUGAUCCGGUGGUUCUGAAUGGAAGGGCCAUCGCUCAACGGAUAAAAGGUACUCCGGGGAUAACAGGCUGAUACCGCCCAAGAGUUCAUAUCGACGGCGGUGUUUGGCACCUCGAUGUCGGCUCAUCACAUCCUGGGGCUGAAGUAGGUCCCAAGGGUAUGGCUGUUCGCCAUUUAAAGUGGUACGCGAGCUGGGUUUAGAACGUCGUGAGACAGUUCGGUCCCUAUCUGCCGUGGGCGCUGGAGAACUGAGGGGGGCUGCUCCUAGUACGAGAGGACCGGAGUGGACGCAUCACUGGUGUUCGGGUUGUCAUGCCAAUGGCACUGCCCGGUAGCUAAAUGCGGAAGAGAUAAGUGCUGAAAGCAUCUAAGCACGAAACUUGCCCCGAGAUGAGUUCUCCCUGAGACUUUAGGUCUCCUGAAGGAACGUUGAAGACGACGACGUUGAUAGGCCGGGUGUGUAAGCGCAGCGAUGCGUUGAGCUAACCGGUACUAAUGAACCGUGAGGCUUAAC